GAAGAGCUUAUGAGAACAACACUGGAAGGGGUGCUUUAGGAGUGCAAGGAAAUGCAGCUACAAACCCACUGAGCUAUCAGUGCUGUCUGCAUGCUUCUAUGGGAGGAAUGCUGAUAUGUGGGAACUGACAAAGAAGCAUGAGAGAGCCGAUGUUCACCUCUUAAACCUGAUGAAAUUUGCUGGUGAAUCACAGGCUGCAAAAUACAACUGAGCAAGUUAAAUUCCACUUCCCUUGAACACGGAAGCCAGCAGUGCAUUUGUCACAUGGUCACAUCAGCAGACCACAACAACAAGAGCAAUCACCUGGUGAAACAAUCCACACAAAGAUUUGGAAGGAAAAUUUCUUUCAGGCAGGUGACACUGGACAUCUGGCAGUCCUCUGCCUC